rnacentral:rRNA from 1 species
UUGAACGCUGGCGGCAGGCCUAACACAUGCAAGUCGAGCGGAUGAAGGGAGCUUGCUCCUGGAUUCAGCGGCGGACGGGUGAGUAAUGCCUAGGAAUCUGCCUGGUAGUGGGGGAUAACGUCCGGAAACGGGCGCUAAUACCGCAUACGUCCUGAGGGAGAAAGUGGGGGAUCUUCGGACCUCACGCUAUCAGAUGAGCCUAGGUCGGAUUAGCUAGUUGGUGGGGUAAAGGCCUACCAAGGCGACGAUCCGUAACUGGUCUGAGAGGAUGAUCAGUCACACUGGAACUGAGACACGGUCCAGACUCCUACGGGAGGCAGCAGUGGGGAAUAUUGGACAAUGGGCGAAAGCCUGAUCCAGCCAAGCCGCGUGUGUGAAGAAGGUCUUCGGAUUGUAAAGCACUUUAAGUUGGGAGGAAGGGCAGUAAGUUAAUACCUUGCUGUUUUGACGUUACCAACAGAAUAAGCACCGGCUAACUUCGUG